CACCCCUCUCGCGCCCCUCCGCGCCCGCGUCCGGAAAAGUGGAAAACCCUCAGUUUUUGUGGACCCGCUCGACUAGGCGCACUCUCGCAGCUCGCCUCCCUCUGUGCCCAGUGCGUUGACGGGACCCGAACAGGAGGAAUAUUUACGUAUCGAUCAAGCCCGCACCGCAAAAAUCCAGCCCCAGCCUCCUCGACCCGUCCGUGCAAACCCGUGCGCCACAAAUCAAAAUAAAGGUCACCCGAUUCGAGCCCGAGCAAAGGUCGACGCAUAACCCCAACCGCCCUCGACUUAACCCUUUUUUCACUCGUGAUUUUAACCUAACAAAGCCUUAAAGUUCGCGGAAGUGUCGUGGAAUCCACUCCAAACGCACGUACCGCCGAGGUUGUGUCUCCUGAUAACACGCCAAGUCGUUCGCCUUCCAGUAGCUCCUAGUUUUUUUUUACAAAUUUUAGUACUUCCUCCUUUUGUAGAUAGUUCACUAACUUUCGGUUCUUCGCUUCCCCUUCGUAGUUUUUGAGAAUCGUUCGCUUUGACCAAGUUUAAGAAGUGGAAAAUACCUGUUUGUUGUGGUUCAUAACCUCUUCACUCCAAUUGCUGCAACAUAAAUAACAUCUGUGCGACAUCUCGGUGCGUAACGGCGCUGGGUCCCCGCCCGGCGUGAGGCCUGCCAUGGGGCGGAAGCGGGCUCCGACCUCCAGGGGGAUCUCCGGGGGGCGCCCGUGCUCCUCCCCCUCCGCCUCCGCGUCAUCAGCACCCCCGCCGCCAUCGGCCGCGUCACCGCUGACGUCAUCAACCCCCCGCCCCCGCCUUCGUCUUCCUCGCCCCGUCCCGGUCUCCGUCGCGUCUUCGGUUGACCCCCUCGGUGCCCCCCGACCCCGUCGCGUCUACGCCCAAGUGCCUCGACCCCCUCCCCUACUGCACUAGUGCCCAUCUCCGCCUCCUGCCCCCCUCCCCGCUUCGCCGCCCGCCUUUCGUCUUUCUCGCUGGUUUCUGAGGCUUCAACUCCGCCAUGUCUCUCCUCAGCGUCACAGUGAAGAGAGCUUGCAUCGUUGGAGUUGAUGGAAACCAGCUGGACUCUUAUGUAACGUUAAAAUUGCAAAAUGUGAAGUCUACGACGGUCACGGUAAAGGGACCCAACCCUGCGUGGGAACAAGACUU